rnacentral:rRNA from 1 species
CAGUAGCCGCGGUAAUACGUAGGUGGCAAGCGUUGUCCGGAAUUAUUGGGCGUAAAGGGCUCGCAGGCGGUUUCUUAAGUCUGAUGUGAAAGCCCCCGGCUCAACCGGGGAGGGUCAUUGGAAACUGGGAAGCUUGAGUGCAGAAGAGGAGAGUGGAAUUCCACGUGUAGCGGUGAAAUGCGUAGAGAUGUGGAGGAACACCAGUGGCGAAGGCGACUCUCUGGUCUGUAACUGACGCUGAGGAGCGAAAGCGUGGGGAGCGAACAGGAUUAGAUACCCCCGUAGUCCCUGUCUCUUAUAC